CAGGGUGGCCCACAAAAAGUAGCCUGCCUCCAAUAUUUCCAAAUCAACUGCCUUAUAGUAAAUCUGUCUUAGUUGUCCAUAGCAACCAAUCAGAGCUCAGUUUUCAUUUUUUCAGAGCCCUGUAAGAAACCUUUGCUAACAAGCACCCAGGAACAAAACCACCAGCUAAAUAUUGUAUUCAGAGUCUGGUUCAGAAAUAGCAUCAAACUGGCUUUGUUGCAAACAUAAAGAAACUAAGGCCUCCAUGGAUCAGGACAGCUGAAGUUGUGCAUGAAAUUCAGCAGCGGAUUACAAGUAGCCCC